rnacentral:rRNA from 1 species
GACGAACGCUGGCGGCGUGCUUAACACAUGCAAGUCGAACGGAAAGGCCCUGCUUUUGUGGGGUGCUCGAGUGGCGAACGGGUGAGUAACACGUGAGUAACCUGCCCUUGACUUUGGGAUAACUUCAGGAAACUGGGGCUAAUACCGGAUAGGAGCUCCUGCUGCAUGGUGGGGGUUGGAAAGUUUCGGCGGUUGGGGAUGGACCCGCGGCUUAUCAGCUUGUUGGUGGGGUAGUGGCUUACCAAGGCCUUGACGGGUAGCCGGCCUGAGAGGGGGACCGGCCACGUUGGGACUGAAAUGCGGCCCGGACUCCUACGGGAGGCAGCGGUGGAGAAUAUUGCACAAUGGGCGGAAGCCUAGUGCAGCAACGCCGCGUGCGGGAAGACGGCCUUCGGGUUGUAAACCACUUUCGCCUGUGACGAAGCGUGAGUGACGGUAAUGGGUAAAGAAGCACCGGCUAACUACGUG